AAUGAACGUUGGCGGCGUGGCUUAGGCAUGCAAGUCGAGCGAGAACCCCGCAAGGGGGGACAGCGGCGAAAGGGACAGUAAUGUGUAGAUUAUCUGCCCUCAGGUCCGGGAUAGCUGCGGGAAACUGCAGGUAAUACCGGAUAACAUCUCCGGAUCAAAGGUGUGAUUCCGCCUGAGGAUGAGUCUGCAUCCUAUUAGCUAGUUGGUGGGGUAAUGGCCUACCAAGGCAUUGAUGGGUAGCAGGUGUGAGAGCACGACCUGCGUCAUUGGGACUGAGACACUGCCCAGACACCUACGGGUGGCUGCAGUCGAGAAUCGUCGGCAAUGGGCGCAAGCCUGACCGAGCGACGCCGCGUGUGGGAUGAAGGCCUUCGGGUUGUAAACCACUGUCAGAGGGGAUGAAAUGCAGGUGGGUGCUCCCAUCUGUUUGACAUAGCCUCAGAGGAAGGACGGGCUAAGUUCGUG
rnacentral:rRNA from 1 species